rnacentral:rRNA from 1 species
UACGGAGGAUCCGAGCGUUAUCCGGAAUUAUUGGGUUUAAAGGGUGCGUAGGCGGCCAUUUAAGUCAGCGGUGAAAUUUUGCAGCUUAACUGUAACAGUGCCGUUGAUACUGUUAGGCUAGGAUUUGGUUGCUGUGGGUGGAAUGUGUGGUGUAGUGGUGAAAUGCUUAGAGAUCACACAGAAUAUCGAUUGCGAAGGCAGCUCACAAAGCCAAGAUUGACGCUGAGGCACGAAAGUGUGGGGAUCAAACAGGAUUA